AGGAGCAUAGCUCAAUUGGUAGAGCACCGGUCUCCAAAACCGGGGGUUGCGGGUUCGAGUCCUGCUGCUCCUGCCA
rnacentral:tRNA from 1 species